rnacentral:rRNA from 1 species
CCGGUGGGCUUGGAUCGGGCUAUUGUGUAUAGCUCUUCCUGCGGCCUCUUCUCCCCCCCUGCACCCCCCAACUCGUCGUCGUCUUCCCAAGGCUCCAACCCUAGCCACCCUUCCUCGGCAUCCUUCCCCCAAGCCGGCGGCGGCCCCGGCGGCCGCACCGUCUGUGAAGAUGUCGGGAGGCUUCUUCCGGGGGACGUCGGCCGACCAGGAUACCAGAUUCUCCAACAAGCAUGCCAAGCUGCUCAAGACGCAGAAGUUCGCGUCCGAGCUUGACCAUCAGGUGGACAUGUCAAAGGUGAAGAUGGACGUGAUGAAGCCGUGGAUUGCCACACGGGUCACCGAGCUUCUUGGGUUCGAGGACGAAGUUCUUAUCAACUUCAUCUACGGCCUGCUCGAUGCGAAGGAGGUGGACGGGAAGUACAUACAGAUCCAGCUGACAGGGUUCAUGGAGAAGAAUACAAUAAAGUUCAUGAGGGAGCUGUGGAGCCUCCUUCUCAGUGCGCAGCAGAAUGCCAGUGGUGUGCCCCAGCAAUUUUUGGAUGCAAAGGAGGCUGAGAUUCAGCAGAGAAAGGCGGAAGAGGCUAGAAUUGCCCAGGAGAUCCAGAAGAAGCGAGAGAAAGAUGGAAGGGACACAGAACUAGAUAAACACAAAAUGAUGGCCGGGGAUACUGGUAAUUCAAGAUCUCAUGGUGAUUCACUUGGCUCUGCUUUAAACAAUCCCAAUGUUGAUGCUGAGAAAGAAAAGGAACUGGACUUGAAGCAUAGCUCGAGAACAAAGAGCCGGGAACAUCGAAGACCUAGGAGCACAUCUUUGUCGCCCCGUGGUAGGCAACGGUCUAUUUCUCCAAGGAGGCGCUCUCCAUCCCCUUCCAGACAAAGAUCAUCACGACGUUCAGCUUCACCUAGGCGUUCUGUUUCCCCCCGAAGGCAUUCCCCAAGAGUUGCUCCUUCAGUGUCUAGGCGGAGGUCACCGUAUUCCAGGAGAUCACCUUCGGUACCUAGAUCCCCAUCACCCCGGCGGAGAUUUCCCAUUAGGAGAAGAUCUCCACCAUCUGGGCGACGUAGAUCACCAUCUCCUUAUCGCCGUCGGUCCCCAGCUCGCGCACCUAGAAGAUCACCAUCUCCUGCGCGUCGCAGAUCACCUCCUCGACACAGAUUACCAGCAGAUAGGCACCGGUCCCCAUCGCCAGGAAGACGCAGGCCACGGUCCCCAUCACCUGUAAGACGCAGGCCACGGUCCCCAUCACCUAGAAGGCAUAGACCACGUUCUCCAGGAAGACGGCAGUCCCUGUCACCUCACCGCUCACUGCAGUUGAGGUCACCAAAACGCCAGAGAAAAUCCCCAAUUUCAAUUAGGACGCUUUCUGCAAAUCGUCCAGUCUCUCCACAGCGGAGGAGGAGUAGCAGUCCACACAGCAGGAGUCCAAAUCGUUCACGUAGGAGUUCGAGCAGGGACGCAGAAAAGGGAACAAACGGUGCACCCUCCACUAAAGGCAGGGAUCUGGCUCAAAGGAACCAAGAAAGGAGUGGCCGAGAGUCACCGGAUUUUGAACACCGUAGGCUCACAAAAUCCUUGAGGUCUCCUACUAAUGAUGCAAAAAGAGAUUCCACACGUGGCAGUCCUUUGAAGGACACUGGGAAACAUAUGCCCAGUCAGGACAGCACAAAUACCAGUGGAGACGAGGAAGAAGGCGGGCGUGCAAGGGAGAAUGCACGGAAGGCCAAUUCAUCACGCAGGGUAUCCAAGGAUUUCUCAGCUGAUCUGCAACUAAAGGAAGUCAACGUUGAUAACUCAAUCCCUGGAGAAAAACCCUCUUCCAGAUCAAGACAGUAUGGCGGCAAGGAUGUCCCCAAGAAAUAUGAUAAUCAGCUAUCAGAUUCUUCAGAAGAUGCGCUUGAUGGUAGAAGAAUGAAACGCCAGGGUGAUUCCCCUGAUGAUUCUCCUGUGAAACGGCAGUCCCCUAGUAGAGCCGGCGACUCUUAUCCAAAGGAUGGGAUUAACAAUGAGCGUGCCAAAACGGAUUCAUUUGGUGCUUCUUAUGAUGCUAUUGCAGCGAAGAAAUACUCUGGUAAAGUUGAUGAAGCUUUCCAAUCAGAUGGUGGAAGUCCUCUUCAAAAAGCUAAGAAAAGAACAUAUGAUAGUAAACACAUUGAUCAUGGCAGUUCGGGCUCAGAAGAAUCUGAGAAACACAGAUCCCAGUCUGAGAAGCGAGGACAUAAAAAGGGUCACAAGCAUAAGAAGCAUUAUGAUGAUAGUUUUGAUUCUGAUUCUGACUCAGAUGACAAGGAGUCCAAGAGGAGGAGGCGAGAAGAGAAAAAGCUACGAAAAGAGGAAAGGCGCCUUAGACGUGAAGAACGGCACCGCAGAAGGGCGGACCGUCAUGCCAGUAAACAGAAAUUGAAGUAUGCUGGUUCUCCCCUGUCAGAUCUUGAGAAGGAUCGUCAAUCUGGCUCAGAUGCUGAUGUUGGGAAGAAAGGUUCAUACACUCCGAGAGAAGAACCUGACCCAAACAAACUUGAAAUUGAGCUUCGACAGAGAGCUCUUGAAUCUCUUGCAAAGAAAUCAAAGCAUGUUGUUACUCCCUCUUCAGAUGUCGAGAAGGACCGUGAAUCUGACUCGGAUGCUGAUGUUAGGAAGAGAGUUUCAUAGGCUGGCUGAGAAGAAUCUGAUAAAAAUAAACUUGAAGGGUUGAGCUUCGGGAGAAGACCCGUGAAACUAUAUAGAUCAAAGAAAGCUGCCAAUCACUAGGCUGGGGAAUUUCUCUCAAUGCAUUUACACGUUUCUAUUUUUCAAGAGCAUAUCUAUGUGUUAUUGAAGUGUGCUCAUAUGAUACCUGUUUAAUGUUCUGUAUGUUUAUGUGGCAGUUGAUCUGAGUAAUUGACGAUUCCUGAGCUUUCCUUGUUGCAGCUGCUUUCAGGCUUAGCUGCUUUUAUCUGAUUAGCACCAUGUGAACAAGGUUUUUAUGUACCAGAGAUUUAACAGCACCUCAGCGACAACCAGCUGGUUGCACCUUUGAUGAUUGUGAAACUCUCCUAAAGUGCUCCUGUUUCGUUUUGGUUGCUGCUCCUUAGAAUGAGGUUUGUGCAGUAAGUUCUUUUGUGUGUGUGUGUGUGUGUGUGUGGCUAUGUCCUGAUGAAGCAAAUGAAAUUUCUUGUAAGUAUUUGAAGGUUGCUAACUUCACAGUGAAUGCCCAUGAGUAUUCUACUGUUGAAUGAACAUGAGUUGUCCUUUUAUAUUUUGUGGUUCCUAGCAUUCAGGUGCAAGUCUUGGGUAGGAGUUAUAUUUCUUUGUAUAUAGUUUCUAAUGUGAGCAUAUGAGCUGCCAUUUCUUGCUUUUUUUUGCCGGGGCAUUUCUUGCUCUAUUGGGUGGGCUUACAUGAUGUUGAAGCAAUAUUGAUUGUGUUCUGCCAUCUGCUUGCUUUUGCUUGGAACAGUUUUUU